rnacentral:tRNA from 1 species
GCCUGGGUGGCUCAGUCGGUUAAGUGUCUGACUUCAGAUCAGGUCCCGAUCUCUCAGUUUGUGGGUUCGAGCCCAUGUCGAGCU